rnacentral:tRNA from 1 species
UGGUCGUAUAGUCUAACGGUUAAGAUACACGCCUGUCACGCGUGAGACUCGGGUUCGAUUCCCGAUAUGACCGU